CUUGAAGUUGGUCCCACUGUGUACCAGACUCUAACACUUGGGCAGUGUUAUGCAGUGAUAUCAAUCCAUUUGUACCAGUUUGUUGAGAUAAUGAUCACAAAGCAGGUUGAACAAAGCAACUUUAUUACUCAUGGAGAGGCAGCAAGACUCAAUCGAUGAUGUCUGAGAUGCAAGGUGCUUCUGCUGCUGCUGGCCUGUGACCACAUUUUGAGCAUCACUGGCAUCUAAGAAAAUCUCAAUUGCCUGGCGCUUCUGAGGAAUGCAGUGUUCCCCGUAAAUGACUUAUCCAGAUGAAUGAAGCUUCUCUCUCCAAAUGUCAAGCCUUCAUUUCUUUUAAUCAUAUUUAGAGAACCCUUUCUAGAAUAAAUGUUCCUUUCUUUGCUUUCUGAAAAUACAGGAUUCUGAACAUCAUUAAACCCUUUCUUGAUGACUCAGUA